rnacentral:tRNA from 1 species
UCUCUGGUGGCUCAGAUGGUAAAGCAUCUGCCUACAAUGCAGGAGACCUGGGUUCAAUCCCUGGGUUGGGAA